GGUGUACAACGGUGCAUUGAUACAUAAGUAUGAAGGGACAUCAUGUCGAGCUAUACAUGGAAGAUAAUGUGCAUGAUGUUUAUGCGAAUAUAACCAAUAUCGUCCUGAUUAACGGUAUCCAAAGUUAUUAUCUCAUGACUAUGGAAAUAGAUAGGUAACAAUUUUGUUUACUUGAAAAAACAUACCUGUUCUGAAUAAAAUUCACAAUUUGUGGUCUUGCUAGCAGUAAAAUAGUUUAGCAACAGAUCCUUACACAUUCAAAUUUCAAGGCCUGAUUGAGGUUGAAAUAAAUACUUGAAGGCCAGAUCUGUUCCUUAUGUAGCUUGCUUCCCCUCG
rnacentral:lncRNA from 1 species